rfam:Triticum aestivum genome assembly, contig: Triticum_aestivum_CS42_TGACv1_scaffold_435748_5DL
ACCAAUUCCUGAGGAUGAUUUUUGUUCCUCGUGGUAAUUAGUCUCGGACGCUACAUGCGAUUCUCUAAUGUGUGGUAUAUCCUGAUUGGUGGCGUCCUCUGUGCCAGCUUAUCCUGGAAACGCCACAUACAUUC